rnacentral:lncRNA from 1 species
CGGCGACAGCGCCAUUGCUUGCGGCGGCGAUCCGCUCGGAUAUGCCAUUUUCGGCCGAAUUCGGCCAAACUUGCAUUGGUCCCUACGAUAAAACAACCCUAGGGCCCUCAGUGGGCCAAAAAAUCACGAAAAACUGAGACUUACCGGGGGCGGUCCUCUCGGGUGCGACGGCUCCUCCGGCGUGAGUCGCGUUUUGAUGUUUGGCUCCGAUCAACCUGUAGAGAAAAGAACG